rnacentral:rRNA from 1 species
UACGUAGGGCGCAAGCGUUAUCCGGAAUUAUUGGGCGUAAAGAGCUCGUAGGCGGUUUGUCGCGUCGGCCGUGAAAACUUGCAGCUUAACUGUGGGCGUGCGGUCGAUACGGGCAUCACUGGAGUUCGGCAGGGGAGACUGGAAUUCCUGGUGUAGCGGUGAAAUGCGCAGAUAUCAGGAGGAACACCGGUGGCGAAGGCGGGAUCCUGGGCCAGUACUGACGCUGAGGAGCGAAAGCGUGGGGAGCAAACAGG